GUGCUUGGUUCUGCAGCACAUAUACUAAAAUUGGAACGAGACCCAGAUGCACGCAUAGCCCCGUGCAAGAAUGAUAUGCAUGCACGUGAAGCAGUCUACAUUCUU